AGUGAACGCUGGCGGUAGGCCUAACACAUGCAAGUCGAACGGCAGCACAGUAAGAGCUUGCUCUUACGGGUGGCGAGUGGCGGACGGGUGAGGAAUACAUCGGAAUCUACUUUUUCGUGGGGGAUAACGUAGGGAAACUUACGCUAAUACCGCAUACGACCUACGGGUGAAAGCAGGGGAUCUUCGGACCUUGCGCGAUUGAAUGAGCCGAUGUCGGAUUAGCUAGUUGGCGGGGUAAAGGCCCACCAAGGCGACGAUCCGUAGCUGGUCUGAGAGGAUGAUCAGCCACACUGGAACUGAGACACGGUCCAGACUCCUACGGGAGGCAGCAGUGGGGAAUAUUGGACAAUGGGCGCAAGCCUGAUCCAGCCAUACCGCGUGGGUGAAGAAGGCCUUCGGGUUGUAAAGCCCUCUUGUUGGGAAAGAAAAGCAGAAGGUUAAUACCCCGCUGUUCUGGCGGUACCCAAAGAAUAAGCACCGGCUAACUUCGUG
rnacentral:rRNA from 1 species